GGCAGCCAACUGGAAUCGCAUCAGGACCUCCAGGAGGACUAUUAUCCAUAUCCCAUCAUUAGGAAUUGGUAUGUGUACCUGUAGGAGGCUGCAGAAUUCAACUGGAAAUUUUCCCUCAAUGAGGAAGACGGAUUUUCCCAGUGCAUCCGUGAGCAUAUUCCUGAUCUCGCUCUCCAGCAGAACACGCAGAUGGGAAGGCUGUGUGACACCCUGGGUACGUCACGAGCUGGUGCCUGCCUAGCUUCUUAUUGUUACUUGCCCAUAGUUGUGAGCAAUAGAGAACGACUGAUGAGGACUUUUGUAUUAAAU
rnacentral:lncRNA from 1 species